rnacentral:rRNA from 1 species
GAUGAACGCUGGCGGCGUGCCUAAUACAUGCAAGUCGAGCGAACAGACGAGGAGCUUGCUCCUCUGACGUUAGCGGCGGACGGGUGAGUAACACGUGGAUAACCUACCUAUAAGACUGGGAUAACUUCGGGAAACCGGAGCUAAUACCGGAUAAUAUAUUGAACCGCAUGGUUCAAUAGUGAAAGACGGUUUUGCUGUCACUUAUAGAUGGAUCCGCGCCGCAUUAGCUAGUUGGUAAGGUAACGGCUUACCAAGGCAACGAUGCGUAGCCGACCUGAGAGGGUGAUCGGCCACACUGGAACUGAGACACGGUCCAGACUCCUACGGGAGGCAGCAGUAGGGAAUCUUCCGCAAUGGGCGAAAGCCUGACGGAGCAACGCCGCGUGAGUGAUGAAGGUCUUCGGAUCGUAAAACUCUGUUAGUAGGGAAGAGCAAAUGUGUAAGUAACUAUGCACGUCUUGACGGUACCUAAUCAGAAAGCCACGGCUAACUACGUG